CAUGCAGUCGAACGCUUCUUUUCCCACCGGAGCUUGCUCCACCGGGAAAAGAGGAGUGGCGAACGGGUGAGUAACACGUGGGUAACCUGCCCAUCAGAAGGGGAUAACACUUGGAAACAGGUGCUAAUACCGUAUAACAAUCGAAACCGCAUGGUUUCGUUUUGAAAGGCGCUUUACGGUGCCGCUGAUGGAUGGACCCGCGGUGCAUUAGCUAGUUGGUGAGGUAACGGCUCACCAAGGCCACGAUGCAUAGCCGACCUGAGAGGGUGAUCGGCCACAUUGGGACUGAGACACGGCCCAAACUCCUACGGGAGGCAGCAGUAGGGAAUCUUCGGCAAUGGACGAAAGUCUGACCGAGCAACGCCGCGUGAGUGAAGAAGGUUUUCGGAUCGUAAAACUCUGUUGUUAGAGAAGAACAAGGGUGAGAGUAACUGUUCACCCCUUGACGGUAUCUAACCAGAAAGCCACGGCUAACUACGUGCCAGCAGCCGCGGUAAUACGUAGGUGGCAAGCGUUGUCCGGAUUUAUUGGGCGUAAAGCGAGCGCAGGCGGUUUCUUAAGUCUGAUGUGAAAGCCCCCGGCUCAACCGGGGAGGGUCAUUGGAAACUGGGAGACUUGAGUGCAGAAGAGGAGAGUGGAAUUCCAUGUGUAGCGGUGAAAUGCGUAGAUAUAUGGAGGAACACCAGUGGCGAAG
rnacentral:rRNA from 1 species